rnacentral:lncRNA from 1 species
GUGAUGCUUGCUUGUCGCUUGACUUUGUGUUGUGAGCGGGUGCAGUUUUAAUAAGCGCGUUUAGUAAGUCGUUGAUCUCUAUCCGGCGCGUCUCCAGUUUUUUUUCUAUAUAAUCAAGUCUUCUCUUUCUUGAUCAUUAAUCUUUUUAUUUAGAGUUUCCAUAUCCCUUUAUUCUAUUUUAAAUUAUUCCUUUGGGUACACCUUCCAUGAACCGACCUAUUAAAACGUAUGAAGAAUUAUUUUCAGCAUUUUUCCUGGAAUUUAUUUCCACUUGACUCUGAGCAUAAUCUAAUUUCUAGAUGCUCCUAGAUAUCUUUUCAUGAGCUCUAAAUACUUUAUUUGGAUUCAUCUUCCAAUUCACCCAUGAGUUUGUCAUGCUUUUGUUAAAGCUCCCUUUUACUUUGUGUAAAAUUCUUGCUAAUUUGGGCUCAAACCCACCAUCCGACCGCAGCUCAAUUUGUCCGACGUCUUAUCGUAGGGAGACCAGGAAGCCAACUCCUUUUUAUCUUAAAACGGCC